rnacentral:miRNA from 1 species
UAAUUCAGAAACUCUUCGCCU